rnacentral:rRNA from 2 species
UGCAGUCGAACGAUGAACCACUUCGGUGGGGAUUAGUGGCGAACGGGUGAGUAACACGUGGGCAAUCUGCCCUGCACUCUGGGACAAGCCCUGGAAACGGGGUCUAAUACCGGAUACUGACCCGCUUGGGCAUCCAAGCGGUUCGAAAGCUCCGGCGGUGCAGGAUGAGCCCGCGGCCUAUCAGCUUGUUGGUGAGGUAAUGGCUCACCAAGGCGACGACGGGUAGCCGGCCUGAGAGGGCGACCGGCCACACUGGGACUGAGACACGGCCCAGACUCCUACGGGAGGCAGCAGUGGGGAAUAUUGCACAAUGGGCGAAAGCCUGAUGCAGCGACGCCGCGUGAGGGAUGACGGCCUUCGGGUUGUAAACCUCUUUCAGCAGGGAAGAAGCGAAAGUGACGGUACCUGCAGAAGAAGCGCCGGCUAACUACGUGCCAGCAGCCGCGGUAAUACGUAGGGCGCGAGCGUUGUCCGGAAUUAUUGGGCGUAAAGAGCUCGUAGGCGGCUUGUCACGUCGGUUGUGAAAGCCCG